rnacentral:lncRNA from 1 species
UUUUUUUUUAAUUUAUUUAUUUCAGUGCUCGCUCUAAAGUUUCGAUUUUUUAAAAUGAGAAGAAGAAGUUUGCUGUCAAAGUAUGAUUCCCAUCCGGCAUGCAAACCACGUUCUAUGUGGCUUAGAAAGUACGACAUGGAAUGGUUAACUGAUUUCUUAUCAAAUGAAUCUCAUCACAAGAGACACCAACCAAAAAGAUUUUACGACGAAUUUAUACUUUUUGCACAACAACGCUUGCUCCGAAACUCAAGCGCCGUAUGGAGAACCAAACCAAAAAUCCGUUAAGAAGAAAACAUUCAAUUAGAAGCUUUUAAUUAUAAUUUUUAAUAAUUUAAGUAUUGUAAUAAUUUUGAAUUUAUUGUUAAAACUAGCGUAUAAAAUUAAUAACAUAAUUCGAAAAAAACUUUCAAAUAACGGUAUAAAAAAUUAUUAUA